AGGAAGACAACAUUUCAAAGAAAUAUCCUUUUGGGGACAAUUAAGCAGGAAGCAGUCCUUAAAAGGACAGUGCUGCCGGUUCCCAGGUCACCGUGCCCAGGCUGGGAAGGGGCCAGCGUCUCGCGUCACCGGCUCCACUUCAGGAGGAAAUGGUUCACUUUCCCUUUUCUUAGACCCGUGGGCUGGAACAGGAUCCUCCCCUCUCUGCCAUUCUAUCAGAAUCCGGACAAAGAGUUGUUGUUCAAUGAAUCCCAGCGUGUCCCGUUCUGUUUCCUGUUGUCUGCGAGUUCGCUGUUCAUAUCACUUGCAGCUGACUUGAGGGGGCGGCUUUGUUACAUUUGCUUGAGUUUUUGCUCUUCCGAAAACCUCUGCAAGUGUGAGUUUGAGUUCCGUAUGGUCGAUAGCUUGCCUUCUAGAGUGAGACGGGAUAGCACAUUGAAAGAAACGAACCCACCGCCCUGCAAUUUAAUCGAGAAAUAGAGCGCAGGACUCAGAAUUUGAUCAAAGGACAAAAGCUGAUGAGAGAUUGAUGUAUCCAGGAUCAUAUAAGACAACAGAGGAGGGGUUGUCAUCUGACGAUAAAACAUCACAUCAGCCUAGUGCAUCCUCCACCAGCACACACAUACUGACAUUGACAUGUGGUUAGAAUGGGUGGCAGUAGAUGGGUGAACAUGGCAUAGAUGUGUGUGAACAGUGAAUGGAGAUUUUUUUUUAUUUCAAAUAUAUACUUUAUUCAUAAAAUACUUUACGCAAACAUCACUGAAGCCUGGGAGAACCUUUUUUUAUUUCAAAAAUAUAUUUUAUUCAUAAAAUACUUUACACAAACAUCACUGAAGCCUGGGAGAACCUUUUUUUUAUUUCAAAAAUAUACUUUAUUCAUAAAAUACUUUACACAAACAUCACUGAAGCCUGGGAGAACCUUUUUUUAUUUCAAAAAUAUACUUUAUUCAUAAAAUACUUUACACAAACAUCACUGAAGCCUGGGGAAAUGGAGAUGACGAGACCUGUGCCCACUCCCCAUCGGCUGCUGUGUUUUGUGCAGAUACUGAACCUUGGUGGCAGAUGCUUGGGCAGCAGCAUGUGUUCCCAGAGGCUAUACACUUCUAUAUGCAGAUUAAGGUGCUCUGUCCAUGUAGUUUUCUCCAUUUAGAAAUGCAAACAUGGAAUGCCAGACACAUUAUGCCAUCUAAUGGAUUUAACAGGUGCAAGCUGACCUUUAAGUAAAUCUUAAAUCACUGUGUUUAUUGGGUAUGCAAAUGAGCCCUGUCAGCUGAAUCUGUUACGUCCAGUCACUCCAAAUAAGCAGGGAAUGGUGAGUUGGCUUUGAAAAGUUCAAGGAAUGGCUUUCUGAAGCCUUUGGUAUUGAUGCUAAAUUCAUGAUGCCUUUGAAGUGACACAACUUAUGCAUGAAGCCACAGUGAUAUUGGUGGAUCCUGCCCAAACGCAUGAGUACUUGAAUAUGCCAGACCUCUCUAGGACUAAGCUAUCUACUGUGCUGGAGUAGAAAUGGCAGAAGACUAUCUUCACGUCAGUUGGAGGCAAUGAUAAAGCACAAUGUAGGAACACCCAGAAACACUUGUGUAAAUUCAUCUAGUAUAACUUAGGGUUGUAAUGGGUGAUACAUUUUUUGCUGAAUGCUAAACAUUAUAUAUGUGUGUAGAAAACUUAAAGCUCUUAUAAUGAAUUUUUUAAUAGUGUGGCUAUUCA